AACGAACGCUGGCGGCAUGCCUAACACAUGCAAGUCGAACGAGACCUUCGGGUCUAGUGGCGCACGGGUGCGUAACGCGUGGGAACCUGCCCUUAGGCUCGGAAUAACUCCCCGAAAGGGUGCUAAUACCGGAUAAUGUCUUCGGACCAAAGAUUUGUCGCCUUUGGAUGGGCCCGCGUUGGAUUAGCUAGUUGGUAGGGUAAAAGCCUACCAAGGCGACGAUCCAUAGCUGGUCUGAGAGGAUGAUCAGCCACACUGGGACUGAGACACGGCCCAGACUCCUACGGGAGGGAGCAGUGGGGAAUAUUGGAAAAUGGGCGAAAGCCUGAUCCAGCAAUGCCGCGUGAGUGAUGAAGGCCUUAGAGUUGUAAAGCUCUUUUACCCGGGAUGAUAAUGACAGUACCGGGAGAAUAAGCUCCGGCUAACUCCGUG
rnacentral:rRNA from 1 species